rnacentral:rRNA from 1 species
AUUGAACGCUGGCGGCAGGCCUAACACAUGCAAGUCGAACGGUAACAGGAAGAAGCUUGCUUCUUUGCUGACGAGUGGCGGACGGGUGAGUAAUGUCUGGGAAACUGCCUGAUGGAGGGGGAUAACUACUGGAAACGGUAGCUAAUACCGCAUAACGUCGCAAGACCAAAGAGGGGGACCUUCGGGCCUCUUGCCAUCGGAUGUGCCCAGAUGGGAUUAGCUAGUAGGUGGGGUAACGGCUCACCUAGGCGACGAUCCCUAGCUGGUCUGAGAGGAUGACCAGCCACACUGGAACUGAGACACGGUCCAGACUCCUACGGGAGGCAGCAGUUUUUUUUUAUUGCACAAUGGGCGCAAGCCUGAUGCAGCCAUGCCGCGUGUAUGAAGAAGGCCUUCGGGUUGUAAAGUACUUUCAGCGGGGAGGAAGGGAGUAAAGUUAAUACCUUUGCUCAUUGACGUUACCCGCAGAAAAAGCACCGGCUAACUCCGUGCCAGCAGCCGCGGUAAUACUGAGGGUGCAAGCGUUUAUCCGAAUUACUGGGCGUAAGGCGUAGGCAGGGGGGUUGGUUAAUUCUAGUUGGAAAUCCCCCCGGCUCAACCUGGCAAACCUAUCUGAUACUCGUAACUUUAUUCUCCUAAGAGGGGUCAAAUUCCCCGUGGGUGCGGAAAUUUGCUUCUAUCUUGAUGGAUAUCCCGUACAAAAGCUCUGUCUUUGUUUUGCUUAUUUUUCCUUCGUUACGUCUUGGGGGGCGUAGUUGAGGUAGUGUCUGGGGGUCCUAGUUUGUGAUUCGCGUCUUUUUGGCCUAUAUCCCGGGGUUUACCUGAAAUAAGAAAAAAAAGGUCUUAAUUUUUUUCUUCGAAAUUCUUUUCUCCUGUCGCGCUUAGUUUCUCUAACA